AAGAGCUAAGCUCAGUGAUGUUUUUGCGAACACCAAGUUAGCCUUAUUUCAGCCCAACUCAGUACUGACUGAUAGUUGCAGCCGUCAUAGGAGUCUAAAGCAUCAGUAUUGAGUAAGUAACGAACGAAUGUCUUUGU